UGGGGAAUAUUGGACAAUGGGCGAAAGCCUGAUCCAGCAACGCCGCGUGGGUGAAGAAGGCCUUAGGGUUGUAAAUCCCUUUCGGCGGGGACGAUGAUGACGGUACCCGCAGAAGAAGCCCCGGCUAACUUCGUGCCAGCAGCCGCGGUAAUACGAAGGGGGCAAGCGUUGUUCGGAAUUACUGGGCGUAAAGGGCGUGUAGGCGGACCUGUCAGUCAGGGGUGAAAUCCCGGGGCUCAACCCCGGAAUUGCCUUUGAUACUGCAGGUCUUGAGAUCGGGAGAGGGUCGUGGAAUUCCCAGUGUAGAGGUGAAAUUCGUAGAUAUUGGGAAGAACACCAGUGGCGAAGGCGGCGACCUGGACCGAUUCUGACGCUGAGGCGCGAAAGCGUGGGGAGCAAACAGGAUUAGAUACCCCCGUAGUCC
rnacentral:rRNA from 1 species